UACGUAGGGUGCAAGCGUUAAUCGGAAUUACUGGGCGUAAAGCGUGCGCAGGCGGUUUUGUAAGUCCGAUGUGAAAUCCCCGGGCUUAACCUGGGAACUGCGUUUGAAACUACAAGGCUAGAGUGUGGCAGAGGGGGGUGGAAUUCCCCGUGUAGCAGUGAAAUGCGUAGAGAUGUGGAGGAACACCGAUGGCGAAGGCAGCCCCCUGGGUUAACACUGACGCUCAGGCACGAAAGCGUGGGGAGCAAACAGG
rnacentral:rRNA from 1 species